rnacentral:rRNA from 1 species
UUCUCGUGACUGCGUGCCUUUUGAAGAAUGAGCCUGCGAGUUUGCGGUGUGUUGCGAGGUUAACCCGGGUGGGGUAGCCGUAGCGAAAGCGAGUCCGAACAGGGCGUUUCAGUAGCACGCUCAAGACCCGAAGCGGAGUGAUCUAGCCAUGGGCAGGUUGAAGCGGAGGUAAGACUUCGUGGAGGACCGAACCCACCAGGGUUGAAAACCUGGGGGAUGACCUGUGGUUAGGGGUGAAAGGCCAAUCAAACUCCGUGAUAGCUGGUUCUCCCCGAAAUGCAUUUAGGUGCAGCGUCGUGUGUUUCUUGCCGGAGGUAGAGCACUGGAUAGGCGAUGGGCCCUACCGGGUUACUGACCUUAGCCAAACUCCGAAUGCCGGUAAGUGAGAGCGCGGCAGUGAGACUGUGGGGGAUAAGCUCCAUGGUCGAGAGGGAAACAGCCCAGAGCAUCGACUAAGGCCCCUAAGCGUACGCUAAGUGGGAAAGGAUGUGGAGUCGCAGAGACAACCAGGAGGUUGGCUUAGAAGCAGCCACCCUUGAAAGAGUGCGUAAUAGCUCACUGGUCUAGUGAUUCCGCGCCGACAAUGUAGCGGGGCUCAAGCGUACCGCCGAAGUCGUGUCAUUGCAGCAUAUACGGCCAACGCCGGCUGUGAUGGGUAGGGGAGCGUCGUCUGCCGGGUGAAGCGGCACUGGAAGGUAGUCGUGGACGGUUGACGAGUGAGAAUGCAGGCAUGAGUAGCGAUACACACGUGAGAAACGUGUGCGCCGAUUGACUAAGGGUUCCUGGGUCAAGCUGAUCUGCCCAGGGUAAGUCGGGACCUAAGGCGAGGCCGACAGGCGUAGUCGAUGGAUAACCGGUUGAUAUUCCGGUACCCGCUGUGAAGCGUCAAACAUCGAAUCCAGUGAUGCUAAGGCCGUGAAGCCGCCCUGAUCUCUUCGGAGUUGAGGGGAGUGGUGGAGCCGCUGACCCGAUCUGGUAGUAGGUGAGUGAUGGGGUGACGCAGGAAGGUAGUCCAGCCCGGGCGGUGGUUGUCCCGGGGUAAGGGUGUAGGCCGUGCGAUAGGCAAAUCCGUCGCACAUAAGGCUGAGACCUGAUGCCGAGCCGAUUGUGGUGAAGUGGAUGAUCCUAUGCUGUCGAGAAAAGCCUCUAGCGAGUUUCAUGGCGGCCCGUACCCUAAACCGACUCAGGUGGUCAGGUAGAGAAUACCGAGGCGUUCGGGUGAACUAUGGUUAAGGAACUCGGCAAAAUGCCCCCGUAACUUCGGGAGAAGGGGGGCCACAACCGGUGAUGAGUCUUGCACUCUGAGCUGGGGGUGGCCGCAGAGACCAGCGAGAAGCGACUGUUUACUAAAAACACAGGUCCGUGCGAAGCCGUAAGGCGAUGUAUACGGACUGACGCCUGCCCGGUGCUGGAACGUUAAGGGGACCGGUUAGCUCCAUUUCGGUGGGGCGAAGCUGAGAACUUAAGCGCCAGUAAACGGCGGUGGUAACUAUAACCAUCCUAAGGUAGCGAAAUUCCUUGUCGGGUAAGUUCCGACCUGCACGAAUGGCGUAACGACUUCUCGACUGUCUCAACCAUAGGCCCGGUGAAAUUGCACUACGAGUAAAGAUGCUCGUUUCGCGCAGCAGGACGGAAAGACCCCGGGACCUUUACUACAGUUUGAUAUUGGUGUUCGGUUCGGCUUGUGUAGGAUAGCUGGGAGACUGUGAAGCCUGGACGCCAGUUCGGGUGGAGUCGUCGUUGAAAUACCAGUCUGGUCGUGCUGGAUGUCUAACCUGGGUCCGUGAUCCGGAUCAGGGACAGUGUCUGAUGGGUAGUUUAACUGGGGCGGUUGCCUCCUAAAGGGUAACGGAGGCGCCCAAAGGUUCCCUCAGCCUGGUUGGCAAUCAGGUGUUGAGUGUAAGUGCACAAGGGAGCUUGACUGUGAGACCGACGGGUCGAGCAGGGACGAAAGUCGGGACUAGUGAUCCGGCGGUGGCUUGUGGAAGCGCCGUCGCUCAACGGAUAAAAGGUACCCCGGGGAUAACAGGCUGAUCUUCCCCAAGAGUCCAUAUCGACGGGAUGGUUUGGCACCUCGAUGUCGGCUCGUCGCAUCCUGGGGCUGGAGUCGGUCCCAAGGGUUGGGCUGUUCGCCCAUUAAAGCGGUACGCGAGCUGGGUUUAGAACGUCGUGAGACAGUUCGGUCCCUAUCCGCUGUGCGCGUAGGAGUCUUGAGAAGGGCUGUCCCUAGUACGAGAGGACCGGGACGGACGAACCUCUGGUGUGCCAGUUGUCCUGCCAAGGGCAUGGCUGGUUGGCUACGUUCGGGAGGGAUAACCGCUGAAAGCAUCUAAGCGGGAAGCCUGCUUCGAGAUGAGGACUCCCACCCACUUGAUGGGGUAAGGCUCCCAGUAGACGACUGGGUUGAUAGGCCGGAUCUGGAAGCACGGUAACGUGUGGAGGUGACCGGUACUAAUAGGCCGAGGGCUUGUCCUCAGUUG